rnacentral:rRNA from 1 species
UUUAUGAAUGAAAGCCUUUAAGUCAAAAUCCUGCCUAGACGCGCUGAUACCGAAGUGCCGSUAUUCUUCNGGGUGGUUUCUGAUAGCCGGCUCUGGCCGGUGCGGAGARCCGCUCACCAMUGGGACAAGGUACGGCCGGACCGUGGCCGUACCUCACCACACGUGAACUGCAUGUUUGCCUGGGAGCAGUGCUAAAGGACUCGCAAACGACCUGAUUCUGGGUCGGGGUUUUGUAGGUAGUAGAGCAACUCCCUCGCUGCAAUCUUUUUGAAAGUCAA